UACGUAGGGGGCAAGCGUUAUCCGGAAUUACUGGGUGUAAAGGGUGCGUAGGUGGUAUGGUAAGUCAGAAGUGAAAACCCAGGGCUUAACUCUGGGACUGCUUUUGAAACUGUCAGACUGGAGUGCAGGAGAGGUAAGCGGAAUUCCUAGUGUAGCGGUGAAAUGCGUAGAUAUUAGGAGGAACAUCAGUGGCGAAGGCGGCUUACUGGACUGAAACUGACACUGAGGCACGAAAGCGUGGGGAGCAAACAGG
rnacentral:rRNA from 1 species